GGCUGUGGCUCAGUGGUAGAGUGCUUGCCUAACAUGCUUGAGGCACUGGGUUCGAUCCUCAGCACCA
rnacentral:tRNA from 1 species